rnacentral:rRNA from 1 species
GGGGAAUAUUGCACAAUGGGCGAAAGCCUGAUGCAGCAACGCCGCGUGAGGGAAGACGGUUUUCGGAUUGUAAACCUCUGUUUUCGGUGACGAACAAAUGACGGUAACCGAGUAGGAAGCCACGGCUAACUACGUGCCAGCAGCCGCGGUAAUACGUAGGUGGCAAGCGUUAUCCGGAAUUAUUGGGUGUAAAGGGUGCGUAGACGGGAAGAUAAGUUAGUUGUGAAAUCCCUCGGCUUAACUGAGGAACUGCAACUAAAACUGUUUUUCUUGAGUGCAGGAGAGGUAAGUGGAAUUCCUAGUGUAGCGGUGAAAUGCGUAGAUAUUAGGAGGAACACCAGUGGCGAAGGCGACUUACUGGACUGUAACUGACG